rnacentral:piRNA from 1 species
UAAGAGUAGAAAUGCCUGUGCUGAGA